AAAAUGCCUAGACGAGUAUACACGCUUACUCCAUAAACA
rnacentral:tRNA from 1 species